GCUUGGUUCAAUCUGGCCUCUCCUGUGAAAAAUUAUUCAUCUGUUUAAGGAAUAAGAACAGGAACAGAGGGCUUUAGGUAUCAUUUCUUUUCAUCCUCAAAGUCUCCAGCCAAGUCUCAUUCCCCUCUUGGCCCUUUCCCCUCCCUUUUUUUUUCACCCUUUAUUUUUUCCACUCUCCUAUCUUUGCUCUUCAUACUUGCUGUCCCCCAGGACUCUGAGGAGGAAGUCAAGUAGGGUCAAAGGCCUCUCACCAUCCCCUCUCCUGGCCAAAAUCACCUUCAGCACCCUGGAUCCUCCUCAGGAUAUAUCUCUGAGGAUGACUGUGCAGGUAGGCAUCACUUCUCCCUAGAGCCCCAUCCCCCAGGCACUGCCCCACUCACUUCAAAGGGUGACCCAUCGCUGGGGGCAGGGAAGAGAGCUCUGCAGUCUGGCUCUAGAUGGGGGUUGGGAGGGUGGGAGUGCUCAAACCCUCAAGCCUGGUAAUGGGGAUGCUCCAGGUCCACUUGUCUCAUUUCUUCCCUCCCCUGCAGGGCACUCGCUUUUGGACCCGCCUGGCUCUGCAUCCAACAUAAAGAAUGGUGCCUCCCAAGUUGGCCCUUCCUUGUGGAUGGCCAUCCACUUCUCAGGUUGGCUCUUUGGCCUGCUCCGCUGGUGCCUUCAUAACACCUGGUACUGCCUGACCACAGCUGUCUCCCUGCAGGACAUCUAUGUUUUCACCAGGUCAGUGAGGACUACCUGGGGCCUGCCAGAAUCAAAGAUCCACAGCUCCAAAGGACUCCACAGUCCUUGAGAUCAAUUUCCCCAUGUGCUUUGCCCUGUUCCUUUUCAGCUUUUUCAGACUUUUAUGCCAUGAAUGUUAUGACAGAGUAAGGUAGGGUGUGCUGAAACCAGCUGGAAACUGCUUGUGAAAGUCAGCUACCAUUCAGGCCUUGAUUGAGUGUCUCCACUGAAGAAGAUGAUGGGAAAAGUGGGUUCUGUGUGCCUUGCCCUCCUCCAGAGCUGGUUGUUCAUCAUUCACCGGCACAGGCCAGCCCCCAUUACCUUUGGUUCUUCAGGGAAGUGGGUUGGCUCUCACUAUCGGGGGGAUUAUCUUCCUGAGUAUCUUUUAGGAGCUCUCUCCUCAGUAGUUCCUGCCUCUGAUCACAACUGACUCUGGUGAGUUCACCUUUCCUAGUCUGAGGGUCCUGAGUUUCCAGGGACACUCCCUACUUUGGGUUUGAAUCCAGAAUUUUCUUCCCAGACCUCCAGGUUGCCAGGUCAUUC
rnacentral:lncRNA from 1 species